rnacentral:rRNA from 1 species
UACGUAGGGUGCAAGCGUUAUCCGGAAUUAUUGGGCGUAAAGAGCUCGUAGGCGGUUUGUCGCGUCUGCUGUGAAAACCCGAGGCUCAACCUCGGGCCUGCAGUGGGUACGGGCAGACUAGAGUGCGGUAGGGGAGACUGGAAUUCCUGGUGUAGCGGUGAAAUGCGCAGAUAUCAGGAGGAACACCGGUGGCGGAAGGCGGGUCUCUGGGCCGAUACU